AAAGUGUCAAGUCAAUAGCACUUGUGGUGCGGCGGGCAGAGCCUUUCAAGCUUUACACUCUAUGUUAUAGCGCCCCCAUAAGGCCGAUUGGGACCAAAUUUUUUGAGCAGUAUUUGGAUGUCAUUUAUAGUCCAUGUACCACGUUUCAUGUCCCUAGGUCCUUCCAGCUGGUCAUAAAUUAAUAAAACGCAAAUUAUGACGGUUAAUGACGAAUAGGCCACGCCCACUUUCACCUAUCAACAUGGCACUCAAGAUUUUAACUAAUAGCCACCCCUAGAGCAUGCAUACCAAAUUUGGUGACAUUCCAUCCAAUGGUCUUUGAGAUACAGAUGUGUGGCAUUUAUAGCGCCCCCUAUAGGCUGAGCUCAAAAUGCUUUGGUAGGCAGCUUCCAAGUCUCAUUGUGGACGUACCCACCAAGUUUGGUGAUGAUAGGUCAAAGGGUGUGGGAGUUAUGGCCAAUCAAUUCUAAGCUCCGCCCACAGCAAAGAUUCAUUGGUCCGUGGCGGCCAUGUUUUUUGACCAAUCUGGCUCAUUUGUAAUAGAAAUGUGUCUUGUCAUCCCCCAAAGCCGUGUACCAACUUUGGUGUUGAUGGAGUCAAAAUUGUAAAAGUUUAUGUCAUUUUACUGUUUUUCAAAUUAUGCAAAUUAGCAAAAAUUCUGUAAGGGCGGCAUUCAUGGUGCAAUAGGCUUUUUUGUAGAGGACUAUCAGGAGGAUGUGUGUGUAAAAUUUCAAGUCAAUAGCACUUGUGGUGCGGCGGGCAGAGCCUUUCAAGCUUUACACUCUAUGUUAUAGCGCCCCCAUAAGGCCGAUUGGGACCAAAUUUUUUGAGCAGUAUUUGGAUGUCCUUUAUAGUCCAUGUACCACGUUUCAUGUCCCUAGGUCCUUCCAGCUGGUCAUAAAUUAAUAAAACGCAAAUUAUGAUGGUUAAUG